rnacentral:rRNA from 1 species
AGCGAACGCUGGCGGCAGGCUUAACACAUGCAAGUCGAACGCCCCGCAAGGGGAGUGGCAGACGGGUGAGUAACACGUGGGAACGUACCCUUUGGUUCGGAAUAACUUGGGGAAACUCAAGCUAAUACCGGAUAAGCCCUUAUGGGGAAAGGUUUACUGCCGAAGGAUCGGCCCGCGUCUGAUUAGCUAGUUGGUGAGGUAACGGCUCACCAAAGCGACGAUCAGUAGCUGGUCUGAGAGGAUGAUCAGCCACACUGGGACUGAGACACGGCCCAGACUCCGACGGGAGGCAGCAGUGGGGAAUAUUGGACAAUGGGGGCAACCCUGAUCCAGCCAUGCCGCGUGAGUGAUGAAGGCCUUAGGGUUGUAAAGCUCUUUUACCCGGGACGAUAAUGACUGUACCGGGAGAAUAAGCCCCGGCUAACUUCGUGCCAGCCGCCGCCGUAA